UAGGGAAUCUUCGGCAAUGGACGAAAGUCUGACCGAGCAACGCCGGGUGAGUGAAGAAGGUUUUCGGAUCGUAAAGCUCUGUUGUAAGAGAAGAACGGGUGUGAGAGUGGAAAGUUCACACUGUGACGGUAUCUUACCAGAAAGGGACGGCUAACUACGUGCCAGCAGCCGCGGUAAUACGUAGGUCCCGAGCGUUGUCCGGAUUUAUUGGGCGUAAAGCGAGCGCAGGCGGUUAGAUAAGUCUGAAGUUAAAGGCUGUGGCUUAACCAUAGUACGCUUUGGAAACUGUUUAACUUGAGUGCAGAAGGGGAGAGUGGAAUUCCAUGUGUAGCGGUGAAAUGCGUAGAUAUAUGGAGGAACACCGGUGGCGAAAGCGGCUCUCUGGUCUGUAACUGACGCUGAGGCUCGAAAGCGUGGGGAGCGAACAGGAUUAGAUACCCUGGUAGUCCACGCCGUAAACGAUGAGUGCUAGGUGUUAGGCCCUUUCCGGGGCUUAGUGCCGCAGCUAACGCAUUAAGCACUCCGCCUGGGGAGUACGACCGCAAGGUUG
rnacentral:rRNA from 1 species